rnacentral:lncRNA from 1 species
CUUGCCUGGAAAACCUUAUGGACAGAAGAGCCUGGUGGGCUGCAGUCCCUGGGGUCGUGAAGAGUUGGACGUGACUGGGCGACUAACACCUACUUACUUACCCUUUCUGUGGGCUUCCCCAGUGGCUCAAAUGUGUGAAUUUCUGCCAGGAGUGAUUAGAUUUCUUCUUGUUCUCCCAACCAAGAUGUGGGAGAGUGAUGAAUCUACUUGA